AGUCGAGGGGUAACAGAGGUAGCUUGCUACUUGCUGACGACCGGCGCACGGGUGCGUAACGCGUAUAGAAUCUACCUUAUACUGGGGGAUAGCCUUUGGAAACGAAGAUUAAUACCCCAUAGUAUGUUUGAAUGGCAUCAUUUGGACAUUAAAGUUUCGGCGGUAUAAGAUGACUAUGCGUUCUAUUAGUUUGUUGGUAAGGUAACGGCUUACCAAGACUACGAUAGAUAGGGGUCCUGAGAGGGAGAUCCCCCACACUGGUACUGAGACACGGACCAGACUCCUACGGGAGGCAGCAGUGAGGAAUAUUGGACAAUGGAGGCAACUCUGAUCCAGCCAUGCCGCGUGUAGGAAGACUGCCCUAUGGGUUGUAAACUACUUUUAUAUGGGAAGAAUAAGGUCUACGUGUAGACUGAUGACGGUACCAUAAGAAUAAGCACCGGCUAACUCCGUGCCAGCAGCCGCGGUAAUACGGAGGGUGCAAGCGUUAUCCGGAAUCAUUGGGUUUAAAGGGUCCGUAGGCGGGCAUAUAAGUCAGUGGUGAAAGUCUGUGGCUCAACCAUAGAAUUGCCAUUGAUACUGUAUGUCUUGAAUUAUUGUGAAGUGGUUAGAAUAUGUAGUGUAGCGGUGAAAUGCUUAGAGAUUACAUAGAAUACCGAUUGCGAAGGCAGAUCACUAACAAUAUAUUGACGCUGAUGGACGAAAGCGUAGGUAGCGAACAGGAUUAGAUACCCUGGUAGUCUACGCCGUAAACGAUGGAUACUAGUUGUUUGGCUUUCGGGCUGAGUGACUAAGCGAAAGUGAUAAGUAUCCCACCUGGGGAGUACGUUCGCAAGAAUGAAACUCAAAGGAAUUGACGGGGGCCCGCACAAGCGGUGGAGCAUGUGGUUUAAUUCGAUGAUACGCGAGGAACCUUACCAGGGCUUAAAUGUAGAUUGACAGGACUAGAGAUAGUUUUUUCUUCGGACAAUUUACAAGGUGCUGCAUGGUUGUCGUCAGCUCGUGCCGUGAGGUGUCAGGUUAAGUCCUAUAACGAGCGCAACCCCUGUGGUUAGUUGCCAGCGAGUAAUGUCGGGAACUCUAGCCAGACUGCCGGUGCAAACCGUGAGGAAGGUGGGGAUGACGUCAAAUCAUCACGGCCCUUACGUCCUGGGCCACACACGUGCUACAAUGGUAGGGACAGAGAGCAGCCACUGGGCGACCAGGAGCGAAUCUAUAAACCCUAUCUCAGUUCGGAUUGGAGUCUGCAACUCGACUCCAUGAAGCUGGAAUCGCUAGUAAUCGGA
rnacentral:rRNA from 1 species